ensembl:lncRNA
AUGCAUCAUGAAGUUGGGCCCACCGUGGGCCCGGUCGAUCAUGGCCUCGUAGUUGGAGCGGACGACGUCCAUCAGCUGGGGAAGGCUGCAGGGGCACACAGGCGGGUCACGUCACACGGGCGGGUCGCGUCACACAGGCGGGGCGGGUCGCGUCACACGGGCGGGUCGCGUCACACAGGCGGGUCACGUCACGUCACACAGGCGGGUCACGUCACACAGGCGGGUCACGUCACACAGGCGGGGCGGGUCGCGUCACACGGGCGGGUCACGUCACGUCACACAGGCGGGUCACGUCACACAGGCGGGUCACGUCACACAGGCGGGUCGCGUCACACAGGCGGGGCGGGUCGCGUCACACGGGCGGGUCACGUCACACGGGCGGGUCACGUCACACGGGCGGGUCACGUCACGUCACACAGGCGGGUCACGUCACGUCACACAGGCGGGUCACGUCACACAGGCGGGUCACGUCGCGUCACACGGGCGGGUCACGUCACGUCACACGGGCGGGUCACGUCACACGGGCGGGUCACGUCACACGGGCGGGUCACGUCACACGGGCGGGUCACGUCGCGUCACACAGGCAGGUCACGUCACGUCACACAGGCGGGUCACGUCACACGGGCGGGUCACGUCACACGGGCGGGUCACGUCACACGGGCGGGUCACGUCACGUCACACGGGCGGGUCACGUCACGUCACACAGGCGGGUCACGUCGCGUCACACAGGCAGGUCACGUCGCGUCACACAGGCAGGUCACGUCACACAGGCGGGUCACGUCACACAGGCGGGUCACGUCACACAGGCGGGUCACGUCACACAGGCGGGUCACGUCACACAGGCGGGUCACGUCACGUCACACAGGCGGGUCACGUCACACAGGCGGGUCGCGUCACGUCACACAGGCGGGUCGCGUCACGUCACACAGGCGGGUCGCGUCACGUCACACAGGCGGGUCACGUCACGUCACACAGGCUGGUCGCGUCACGUCACACAGGCGGGUCGCGUCACGUCACACAGGCGGGUCGCGUCACGUCACACAGGCGGGUCGCGUCACGUCACACAGGCGGGUCGCGUCACGUCACACAGGCGGGUCACGUCACGUCACACAGGCUGGUCGCGUCACACAGGCGGGUCGCGUCACGUCACACAGGCAGGUCGCGUCACACAGGCGGGUCGCGUCACGUCACACAGGCGGGUCACGUCACACAGGCUGGUCGCGUCACACAGGCGGGUCGCGUCACACAGGCAGGUCACGUCGCGUCACACAGGCAGGUCACGUCACACAGGCGGGUCGCGUCACACAGGCAGGUCACGUCGCGUCACACAGGCGGGUCGCGUCACGUCACACAGGCGGGUCGCGUCACACAGGCAGGUCACGUCGCGUCACACAGGCGGGUCGCGUCACGUCACACAGGCGGGUCGCGUCACGUCACACAGGCGGGUCGCGUCACGUCACACAGGCGGGUCGCGUCGCGUCACACAGGCGGGUCGCGUCACGUCACACAGGCGGGUCGCGUCACGUCACACAGGCGGGUCGCGUCACGUCACACAGGCAGGGUCGCGUCACACAGGCGGGUCACGUCACGUCACACAGGCAGGUCACGUCACGUCACACAGGCAGGUCACGUCACGUCCCGUCACGGGCGUCUGCCCACAGGUCCCCCCGGGCUGCUCAUAAUUACCCCUCAGGUGCGUUGGCCCUGGAGUGGGCGCAGGUCCUCAUGAGGGUCUCGAUGGUGUGGAAGAGGUCGGCCUCGGUCACGUGGCUGACGCUGCGCUCAUCCACCAGCAGCAGCUUCACCAGCUGCAUGGCGAAGGCCACGGCCAUGUAG